rnacentral:rRNA from 1 species
CUACGGGAGGCAGCAGUGGGGAAUAUUGCACAAUGGGCGCAAGCCUGAUGCAGCCAUGCCGCGUGUAUGAAGAAGGCCUUCGGGUUGUAAAGUACUUUCAGCGGGGAGGAAGGGAGUAAAGUUAAUACCUUUGCUCAUUGACGUUACCCGCAGAAGAAGCACCGGCUAACUCCGUGCCAGCAGCCGCGGU